CAUCCCCUGAUGACUCGCGGGAUGAAAGCACCUGAGAGUUCUUACAGAGUAACACCGAAGCCAGGAGCAGAGCGCAACUCAGGGAAGCAGGUGUGGGUGGGCUGGGGAAGGCACGGGAAGCUCGCCUGGGCACACAGAUGGGGCACCCAGGUAGAAAGAGCAUCCUAGGCAGGGGUGAAGACACGUGAAUCGGUCCCUUGCACACAGUAGGACUGGACCCAGCCUCCAGGCAGGGGUGGCGGGAAGGGAGGCUGUGAAGGGUGUGGACCCUGAGAGUGAGUGUAGCUGCUGAAGGGGUUGAGGGGCCUGCAGCAGCGAAUGCAUGCUGCUGAUGGUGGGGUCGCGGGAGAUGGACUGGCUGAACUGGAGACAGAGUCAGAACCCGCCGGCGGGCGCAGUUCCCAGUGAGGGGGAGGACCCGGCACAGUGAUGGUGCAGAGACCAGGACGGGUGGGCCCAGGGCAGGGCAGCCUCGGGAGUCCACUGCGCAGUGGGACAUGGCGAUGGGCCUGGGGCCGGAGUCCGGAGACCCAAAGGUUCUGAGUGAGGCGUAGGGAGGUGGACACUGUUCCUUAGGAGAAAGGACACCGAUGGACUGCUCGCCUUGUUGGGCCUGAUGGCUUGGGGCGUUCAGGAGGGAGGUGUGGGCCCAAGAGGCAGGUUUUAGGGUCAGCAAGCACACAUGCCGCAGUUAAAGCUAAGGUGUAGAUGUCGCUCAAGGAGAGCGCGUAGAAGGCAGAGGGGAGAGGGUCAAAGGACAGGCAGAGGAGGAGACGGUGUGAUCUGAGAGGCAGGGAGAAAGCGGGACCAGGAGGCGAGGGUGCUUCAAACGCAGGAGAGCUUAGAUAACGUUUCAUCAGCCAAGUGCUCAUGGCUUGGAAGUGGGGCAGAGGCCAGGGAUGCUAAGACUCCAUAAUAUACAGGAUAGCUGCCCGGCCCCAAGCAAGACUUACAAGCCUAAAAUGUCAAUGAACUGAAAUUGAGCAACUGGUUUCAAUUCCGGAUUGUGAAUCUCAGGUGGCCUGGGGGCUGCCUCUCCCCGUCCUGGGCUCUUAGAGGAUCAGUCGCCCCUGCCCUCACCCCUCCCCUCCUCACGCCCGCUCCAGGACCUUGCUCCCUGUUUGCCCGAGAAAAGGAAGAAUCAGAGGAGACCUCUCAGCCCUCAGACCACAGUGUCCACCAGUCCCCAACAUUCACCCAUCGCCGCCGGCUUCUCCCCUCCUGGUGCUGCAGGCCCCUCCCUCACCCUAGAUGUUGCCCCUUUUACUUUCUUAACCCCAAGGGCAUACACUUCUCUUCUAUUAACUGCUUUAACUUCUUCCAUUUUAGAGAAGGGCUUCCCUGGUGGCUCGGUUGGUAAAGAAUCUGCCUGCAACGCAUGAGACCCAGGACUCCCUAGGGUUCCCGUGGUCGCCUGGGCCCCCAUCAGCAGGAGCCGUGGUUGGUCUCAGGGCUCAGCUGUCUCUGCUCUGGGAAAGCAUGCCAGGCCUGCCCUCACCUGGCACUUUGAGACCCUCCCUCCUGGCCUCCCGGCCACCCUGAGCCUGCCCCUCCUCAGGUCCUCCCCGGCUGAGUGCAGAGGCAGAGUCGGGCGUGCCCUCACGCCCCUCGCUGUGACCUCACUUGGCUCUCGGUGGUAAGACGGCAUGGGAGCGCUGACCGGCCCUGAGGUCCAGCCCGGAGGGUCCGGCCACUCCACAGCCUGUCCACCAGCAACCCCGACUCCCAGUGUCCCAGCAACCUCCUCCUGCCCCAGACGGCAACGUCUGCCUUCCGGUCAGUUCUUCAAGCCUUGAUUCCUCCCUUUUCUCGCUUCCUGUUCUAUCCGGAAGCAUGUCCUUCCUGUGGGCGGGCUGUCUAAAUCCCAUCCUGAAUCUGACCCCGUCACCACCUCCGUGGCCCGACCUGCCCGCUUGUCGCCAGUAACUGCUCCUCCCCCGCCCCGUGGUUCCGGCAGUCCCCCAGACCCUCUGCACUUCCUUCUCCCUCGGAGGGAAAGCUGGGGCCCCCCGCCUUGGGUCACCCCGAUUGCUCUGUGGUCUGCCCCCAGCCUCCUCACUGCCCUGGGCAUUGAAUGGACGCUGCUCCCCCUGAAGUCCGCCUGACCCGCCAUAGCCAGGCAGUCAGCCGCACCUCCAUUUAGAAGUCAAGCCUCCUCUGAUCUCCUAGUUAGAUCGCAGCAGGUUCCCCAGCCCCGCCAGCUUGCUCACUCGCUCUCUGCUCCGUGAGGACCCGUCACCCAGCUGAGCAGUCAGCUCUGGUUGCUGACGUCUGUCUCUGUGACGACUUGAGCGCCACGAGGGCAGCACCCGUCCCUUCCGCCCCCUGCCCGCCGCACAGCAGACGCGCAGGACGUGAUCUGUCCCCCACGUGAAUUCCCACCUCAAACUUCCUAAAGAAAUUAAUGGCCGCUAGCUGUCACCUUUGAUCCCCGAUUGGUGACCUCUGACCUUUAGCUCUGAUCAGCAGGUAGAAGGUUGGCCUCUCUGCUCCUGACCGAUUUUCGUUUUUGUUCUGGGCUGGACGGGAUGAGUGUGUGAGUCAGUUCAUCACAGACCUUUCUCCCUGAGGACCUACAGGGCCUGGGGUUUGCGAGGAAAGGGUGUGAAAAGUCAGAGGGUGGAAGGUGUGGCUCCCGCUCCUGUCCAUCACCGGGGCCUGUCCUGAAGAUGAAAUAGAUUCUCCCCAAGAGCAGCCAGCACAGGGAGCAGCGCACCCACUGGUCUGUUUGUGAAGGGACGCCCGCCACGGCAACUUCAUGAUGGCAAAGCUCAGCCUGCAUUUCAGGUCUGACACAGAAUGGGCUUCCCACCCCAGAGCGGACCCAGGAAUUGAAGUAACACAUUGAAACUGCAUUGCUGGUGCUGUUCAGUUGCUCAGGCGUGUCCGACUCUUUGCGACCCCAUGGACUGCAGCACGC